rnacentral:rRNA from 1 species
GACGAACGCUGGCGGCGUGCUUAACACAUGCAAGUCGAACGGAAAGGCCCUGCUUUUGUGGGGUGCUCGAGUGGCGAACGGGUGAGUAACACGUGAGUAACCUGCCCUUGACUUUGGGAUAACUUCAUGAAACUGGGGCUAAUACCGGAUAGGAGCUCCUGCUGCAUGGUGGGGGUUGGAAUGUUUCGGCGGUUGGGGAUGGACUCGCGGCUUAUCAGCUUGUUGGUGGGGUAGUGGCUUACCAAGGCUUUGACGGGUAGCCGGCCUGAGAGGGUGACCGGCCACAUUGGGACUGAGAUACGGCCCAGACUCCUACGGGAGGCAGCAGUGGGGAAUAUUGCACAAUGGGCGGAAGCCUGAUGCAGCAACGCCGCGUGCGGGAUGACGGCCUUCGGGUUGUAAACCGCUUUCGCCUGUGACGAAGCGUGAGUGACGGUAAUGGGUAAAGAAGCACCGGCUAACUACGUG